rnacentral:rRNA from 1 species
UACGUAGGGGGCAAGCGUUGUCCGGAAUUAUUGGGCGUAAAGAGCGUGUAGGCGGUCCGGUAAGUCAGCUGUGAAAGUCCAGGGCUCAACCCUGGGAUGCCGGUCGAUACUGCCGGACUAGAGUUCGGAAGAGGCGAGUGGAAUUCCCGGUGUAGCGGUGAAAUGCGCAGAUAUCGGGAGGAACACCAAUGGCGAAGGCAGCUCGCUGGGACGUUACUGACGCUGAGACGCGAAAGCGUGGGGAGCAAACAGG